UACGGGGGGAGCAAGCGUUGUUCGGAUUUACUGGGCGUAAAGGGCGCGUAGGCGGCCAGCACAAGUCAGUUGUGAAAUCUCCGGGCUUAACUCGGAAAGGUCAACUGAUACUGUGCGGCUAGAGUGCAGAAGGGGCAACUGGAAUUCUCGGUGUAGCGGUGAAAUGCGUAGAUAUCGAGAGGAACACCUGCGGCGAAGGCGGGUUGCUGGGCUGACACUGACGCUGAUGAGCGAAAGCGUGGGGAGCGAACAGG
rnacentral:rRNA from 1 species